rnacentral:rRNA from 1 species
GAAGGUGGCCUGUGAGGGUUGCUGGAGGUAUCAGAAGUGCGAAUGCUGACAUAAGUAACGAUAAAGCGGGUGAAAAGCCCGCUCGCCGGAAGACCAAGGGUUCCUGUCCAACGUUAAUCGGGGCAGGGUGAGUCGACCCCUAAGGCGAGGCCGAAAGGCGUAGUCGAUGGGAAACGGGUUAAUAUUCCCGUACUUGGUGUUACUGCGAAGGGGGGACGGAGAAGGCUAUGUUGGCCGGGCGACGGUUGUCCCGGUUUAAGCGUGUAGGUGUGUGUUCCAGGUAAAUCCGGUUCACUUUAACACUGAGGCGUGACGACGAGGCACUACGGUGCUGAAGCAACAAAUGCCCUGCUUCCAGGAAAAGCCUCUAAGCAUCAGGUAACAUCAAAUCGUACCCCAAACCGACACAGGUGGUCAGGUAGAGAAUACCAAGGCGCUUGAGAGAACUCGGGUGAAGGAACUAGGCAAAAUGGUGCCGUAACUUCGGGAGAAGGCACGCUGACACGUAGGUGAAGUGAUUUACUCA